rnacentral:tRNA from 1 species
UAUGUUUUGGUGUAUGAUGCACAGGAAUUUUUGAUGUUCCGGGAAAUAGUUUAAUUCUGUUAAAUAUAA